rnacentral:tRNA from 1 species
AGAAACAUGGCUCAAAUGGUAGAGCUCCUGCCUAGCAAGCACAAAGUAUAGAGUUCAAACCUCAUUACUACUG